UACGGGGGGGGCAAGCGUUGUUCGGAAUUACUGGGCGUAAAGGGCUCGUAGGCGGCCAACUAAGUCGGAUGUGAAAUCCCAGGCUUAACCUGGGAACUGCAUCCGAUACUGGAUGGCUUGAAUCCGGGAGAGGGAUGCGGAAUUCCAGGUGUAGCGGUGAAAUGCGUAGAUAUCUGGAGGAACACCGGUGGCGAAGGCGGCAUCCUGGACCGGCAUUGACGCUGAGGAGCGAAAGCCAGGGGAGCAAACGGG
rnacentral:rRNA from 1 species